CUGGUGAGAGAGAAGGAUGCUAUAAAGG
rnacentral:piRNA from 1 species